rnacentral:rRNA from 1 species
AUUGAACGCUGGCGGAAUGCUUUACACAUGCAAGUCGAACGGCAGCACGGGUGCUUGCACCUGGUGGCGAGUGGCGAACGGGUGAGUAAUACAUCGGAACGUACCCAGUCGUGGGGGAUAACGUAGCGAAAGUUACGCUAAUACCGCAUACGUCCUGAGGGAGAAAGCGGGGGACAGUAAGGCCUCGCGCGAUUGGAGCGGCCGAUGGCGGAUUGGCUAGUUGGUGGGGUAAAGGCCUACCAAGGCGACGAUCCGUAGCGGGUCUGAGAGGACGGCCCGCCACACUGGAGCUGAGACGCGGUCCAGACUCCGACGGGAGGCAGCAGUGGGGAAUUUUGGACAAUGGGCGAAAGCCUGAUCCAGCCAUUCCGCGUGAGUGAAGAAGGCCUUCGGGUUGUAAAGCUCUUUCGGCAGGGAAGAAACGGCUUGGGAUAAUACCCCGGGCUAAUGACGGUACCUGAAGAAGAAGCACCGGCUAACUACGUGCCAGCCGCCGCGGUAA